rnacentral:rRNA from 1 species
GACGAACGCUGGCGGCGUGCUUAACACAUGCAAGUCGAACGGAGAUAUAUCAGUAGCAAUACGGAUAUAUCUUAGUGGCGGACGGGUGAGUAACGCGUGAGCAACCUACCUUUUACAGGGGGAUAACACAGGGAAACCUGUGCUAAUACCGCAUAACAUACUAUUGGGGCAUCCCGAUGGUAUCAAAGGAGCAAUCCGGUAAAAGAUGGGCUCGCGUCCGAUUAGAUAGUUGGUGGGGUAACGGCCUACCAAGUCAACGAUCGGUAGCCGGACUGAGAGGUUGGCCGGCCACAUUGGGACUGAGACACGGCCCAGACUCCUACGGGAGGCAGCAGUGGGGAAUAUUGGUCAAUGGGGGAAACCCUGAACCAGCGACGCCGCGUGAAGGAAGAAGGCCUUCGGGUUGUAAACUUCUUUGACAGGGGACGAUAAUGACGGUACCCUGAGAACAAGCCACGGCUAACUACGUG